UACGUAGGUGGCAAGCGUUGUCCGGAUUCACUGGGUUUAAAGGGUGCGUAGGCGGGCAGGUAAGUCAGUGGUGAAAUCUCCGGGCUUAACCCGGAAACUGCCGUUGAUACUAUCUGUCUUGAAUAUCGUGGAGGUAAGCGGAAUAUGUCAUGUAGCGGUGAAAUGCUUAGAUAUGACAUAGAACACCCAUUGCGAAGGCAGCUUACUACACGAUCAUUGACGCUGAGGCACGAAAACGUGGGGAGCAAACAGG
rnacentral:rRNA from 1 species